CCUACGGGUGGCAGCAGUGAGGAAUAUUGGUCAAUGGGCGGGAGUCUGAACCAGCCAAGCCGCGUGAGGGAAGAAGGUACAGCGUAUCGUAAACCUCUUUUGUCAGGGAACAAAGGCGGGGACUAGUCCCCGAUUGAGGGUACCUGACGAAAUAGCAUCGGCUAACUCCGUGCCAGCAGCCGCGGUAAUACGGGGGAUUCGAGCGUUAUCCGGUUUUAUUGGGUUAAAGGGGUGCGCAGGCGGCCUUUUAAGUCAGCGGUAAAAGCCCGGGGCUAAACCCCGGCGAGCCGUUGAAACUGGCGGGCUGGAGUUGGGGAGAAGUACGCGGAAUGCGCGGUGUAGCGGUGAAAUGCUUAGAUAUCGCGCAGAACCCCGGUUGCGAAGGCAGCGUACCGGCUCCACACUGACGCUGAGGCACGAAAGCGUGGGUAGCGAACAGGAUUAGAUACCCCAGUAGUC
rnacentral:rRNA from 1 species